rnacentral:misc_RNA from 1 species
GAAAUGCGAUAAUUAAUUUGAAUUGCAGAAUUCCUUGCCUCCUCUCGUCUUUGAACGCACAUUGCUCCCCCUGGUAUUCCGGGGGGCAUGCCUGUCCGAGCGUCAUUGCUGCCCUCAAGCACGGCUUGUGUGUUGGGCUUCCGUCCCUGGCAACGGGGACGGGCCCAAAAGGCAGUGGCGGCACCAUGUCUGGUCCUCGAGCGUAUGGGGCUUUGUCACCCGCUCCCGUAGGUCCAGCUGGCAGCUAGCCUCGCAACCAAUCUUUUUAACCAGGUUGACCUCGGAUCAGGUAGGGAUACCCGCUGAACUUAAGC